GCAGGCUCAGCAUCGUCUUUGCGUCCUUCAUUCUCCUCCAGAAACGAGGAAACGCAGGAGGUCGUCCUGGUGCAACAAGCAUCCAGUACAUCAAAGAUUUGCUGCCAGUCUUUCCAAUUGAGCCCAGAGCUUUGCCUCCCUCAGCGAGAGAUGUCGUGCUGCAGACCCUGUGUCCCAUCCCCCUGCGGUGCCUCUGGCCCAACCCCACUGGCUAGCAGCUGCAGUGAGCCAUGUGUCGCCCGCUGCGCUGACUCCACUGUGGCCAUCCAGGCCUCCGCUGUGGUGGUGACCCUGCCGGGCCCCAUCCUCACCUCCUUCCCUCAGAACACAGCCGUGGGAUCCUCUCUGUCAGCUGCUGUUGGCAGCUCCCUCAGCACCGCGGGCGUUCCCAUCUCUUCUGGGGGCUCCCUUGGUCUGGGGGGCUCUGGGCUGUGUCUGCCUCGCCCACCCUGCAGUUUUAACUGCUGAAGCUGAUGGAUCAUCCCAUUUGGACAACACAUCCUGGAUACGGAUGGAUCGUGCUCUCAACCUCCCUGUAGACUGAAAGCAUGAUUCUUCCCCUCUGUACAGAGCCACUUUAGCUUUUCCUUCUCAUUAAAGACUUUGUGCAGCAUA